CAUCAUUUAUAUUUGUAUUAAUUAGAUUAUGUAGUAACUUGCAUGUAUAUCUUAUUUUACUCUUGUAGGGCACAAGUAGCACGAGUGCGGUGCAGUGUGAUAUAGGAUCUGGUAGUGCAAUUGGAGACAAGGGAAAGAGAGAAUCCUUGGCUUCACAUCCUUGAUGACUACACCCAGUAUACCUGAAGAAGAAGAAGAGAUGCCUCGAGUAGAUGUUGUUUAUGAAAAUAUUCAAAACAUACCUCCUCUACCGAAGACAUACAUCAAGAGUCCUGCAAAGUUGAAGAGAAAACGUGGAGAUGAGG